AGUGGAUGGGGAGCAACCUAGUUGUGCGUGUGUAAAGGUAGUGCCAAGAAAAGCGAUGAUCAUGUUGAAAAUCAAUUCCCGGUACCCGAAACCGACACAGGUGGGCAAGUAGAGAGUACUAAGGGGCGCGAGGUAACUCUCUCCAAGGAACUCGGCAAAAUGACCCCGUAACUUAGGGAGAAGGGGUGCCACCGAGAGGUGGUCGCAGUGAAGAGGCCCAGGCGACUGUUUAGCAAAAACAUAGGUCUCUGCAAACUCGAAAGAGGAGGUAUAGGGGCUGACGCCUGCCCAGUGCCGGAAGGUUAAAGAAGUUGGUCAGUUUUAGGAUGAAGCUAGCGACUGAAGCCCCGGUGAACGGCGGCCGUAACUAUAACGGUCCUAAGGUAGCGAAAUUCCUUGUCGGGUAAGUUCCGACCCGCACGAAAGGCGUAACGAUCUGGGCGCUGUCUCGGAGAGAGGCUCGGCGAAAUAGGAUUGUCUGUGAAGAUACGGACUACCUGCAUUUGGACAGAAAGACCCUAUGAAGCUUUACUAUAGCUUGGAAUUGUGUUCGGGCUUCCUGUGCGCAGGAUAGGUGGGAGGCGUAGAAGGUAUUCUUGUGGGGAUACUGGAGCCAACGGUGAGAUACCACUCUCAGGAGGCUAGAAUUCUAACUUAAUUAAGGACAGUUUCAGGUGGGUAGUUUGACUGGGGCGGUCGCCUCCAAAAAGGUAACGGAGGCGUACAAAGGUUCCCUCAGACUGGUUGGAAAUCAGUCGAAGAGUGCAAAGGCAGAAGGGAGCUUGACUGCGAGAAGUACAGUUCGAGCAGGGUGGAAACACGGUCUUAGUGAUCCGACGGUGCUGUGUGGAAGGGCCGUCGCUCAACGGAUAAAAGUUACUCUAGGAUAACAGGCUGAUCUCCCCCAAGAGUUCACAUCGACGGGGAGGUUUGGCACCUCGAUGUCGGCUCAUCGCAACCUGGGGCGGAAGUACGUCCCAAGGGUUGGGCUGUUCGCCCAUUAAAGCGGUACGUGAGCUGGGUUCAGAACGUCGUGAGACAGUUCGGUCCAUAUCCGAUGUAGGCGUGAGAAUAUUGAGAGGAGCCUUCCUUAGUACGAGAGGACCGGGAAGGACGCACCGCUGGUGUACCUGUUAUGAUGCCAAUUGUAAACGCAGGGUAGCCAAGUGCGGAGAGGAUAACCGCUGAAAGCAUCUAAGUGGGAAGCCCACCUCAAGAUGAGUAUUCUGGUGUAAGGUCACGGGAAGACGACCCGUAAAUAGGCACGAGGUGGAAGUGCAGAGAUGUAUGAAGCCGAAGUGUACUAAUAGACCGUCGGCUUGAC
rnacentral:rRNA from 1 species